rnacentral:rRNA from 1 species
UACGUAGGUGGCAAGCGUUAUCCGGAAUUAUUGGGCGUAAAGCGCGCGCAGGUGGUUUCUUAAGUCUGAUGUGAAAGCCCACGGCUCAACCGUGGAGGGUCAUUGGAAACUGGGAGACUUGAGUGCAGAAGAGGAAAGUGGAAUUCCAUGUGUAGCGGUGGAAAUGCGUAGAGAUAUGAGGAACACCAGUGGCGAAGGCGGACAUUUCUGGUUCUGUAACUGACACUGAGGCGACGAAAGCGUGGGGAAGCAACAGGGAUUGA